rnacentral:tRNA from 1 species
CGGGGAUUGGCGCAGUUGGCUAGCGCGCCUGCUUUGGGAGCAGGAGGCCGCCGGUUCGAGUCCGGCAUCCCCGACCA